GAUGAACGCUGGCGGCGUGCCUAAUACAUGCAAGUAGAACGCAGUUGCGAACGGGUGAGUAACGCGUAGGUAACUGCCUGGUAGCGGGGGAUCACUAUUGGAAACGCUAGCUACUACCGCCUACUACCAGAUUGACCUGCGUUGUAUUAGCUAGUUGGUGAGGUAACGGCUCACCAAGGCAACGAUACAUAGCCGACCUGAUGGGGUUAUCGGGCACAAGUGGAAUGGGACACGGCCCAGAACCCUACGGGAGGCAGCAGUAGGGAAUCGUUGGCAAUGGGGGGAACCCUGACCGAUCAACGCCGCGUGAGUGAAGAAGGUUUUCGGAUCGUAAAGCUCUGUUGUUAAGGAAGCGGUACUUAAACAGAAAGGGACGGCUAACUACGUGCCAGCAGCCGCGGUAAUAC
rnacentral:rRNA from 1 species